rnacentral:snRNA from 1 species
GUGCUCACUUCAGCAGCACAUGCACUAAAAUUGGAACGGUACAGAGAAGAUUAGCAUGGUCCCUGUUCAAAGAUGACAAGCAGAUUCGUGAAGCUUUCCAAAUUUUU